CCUUUCGAUAUACGUUAGCUAUUUCACGAACAAACCGAUCCAUUUAAUUGUGGAAUAUGGACUUGUGUGAACAUCCUUUCAGCAGCUGUGGACAAUCCUCGUGUAGCCAACAACAUCAAUCCCAAUGACAUGAGGACGUGGAUAUUGCAUCGAAUUGUUCUUAUAGGGGCCGUUGAAAGAGAGAACAGAAAGAUGAACUAUUUGAAAACGAUCAUGAUGAGGAUCCCCAUUCUAGUGACUGCAUUACAGGGACAGAAACAACAAUUCAUCAAGUAGU